CUUAAGCAUAUCAAUAAGCGGAGGAAAAGAAACCAACAGGGAUUGCCCUAGUAACGGCGAGUGAAGCGGCAACAGCUCAAAUUUGAAAUCUGGCUCUUUCAGGGUCCGAGUUGUAAUUUGCAGAGGGCGCUUUGGCUUUGGCAGCGGUCCAAGUUCCUUGGAACAGGACGUCACAGAGGGUGAGAAUCCCGUACGUGGUCGCUAGCUAUUGCCGUGUAAAGCCCCUUCGACGAGUCGAGUUGUUUGGGAAUGCAGCUCUAAAUGGGAGGUAAAUUUCUUCUAAAGCUAAAUACUGGCCAGAGACCGAUAGCGCACAAGUAGAGUGAUCGAAAGAUGAAAAGCACUUUGGAAAGAGAGUCAAACAGCACGUGAAAUUGUUGAAAGGGAAGCGCUUGCAGCCAGACUUGCUUGCAGUUGCUCAUCCGGACUUUUGUCCGGUGCACUCUUCUGCAGGCAGGCCAGCAUCAGUUUGGGCGGUGGGAUAAAGGUCUCUGUCACGUACCUCUCUUCGGGGAGGCCUUAUAGGGGAGACGACAUACCACCAGCCUGGACUGAGGUCCGCGCAUUUGCUAGGAUGCUGGCGUAAUGGCUGUAAGCGGCCCGUCUUGAAACACGGACCAAGGAGUCUAACAUCUAUGCGAGUGUUUGGGUGUCAAGCCCGAACGCGUAAUGAAAGUGAACGGAGGUGGGAACCCGCAAGGGUGCACCAUCGACCGAUCCUGAUGUCUUCGGAAGGAUUUGAGUAAGAGCAUGGCUGUUGGGACCCGAAAGAUGGUGAACUAUGCUUGAAUAGGGUGAAGCCAGAGGAAACUCUGGUGGAGGCUCGCAGCGGUUCUGACGUGCAAAUCGAUCGUCAAAUUUGGGCAUAGGGGCGAAAGACUAAUCGAACUAUCUAGUAGCUGGUUCCUGCCGAAGU
rnacentral:rRNA from 1 species